CCUUCACCAGGCCAAGGAGCUGGUAUCAGGCACAACUAUAGCCCACAACACCUAGUCUCACCACGCCCCCAAGGGUAUUCAGCAGUGAUAAAUAUUGAGCAUAAGCGACAGCUUGACUCAGUCAGAGAAAAGAGGGCCGGCCAAUCCGGUGCCAGCCGCCGCGGCUACCCCGUCGGGCUCAAGUUGAUAGUUAUCGGCGUUAAGCGUGAUUAAAGUCCAUUUAGAUUGGGGCCAAAUUAACACUUAGUAGUUUAAAGCUUGUUGUUAAGAAGACCAUAAACGAAAGUUGCUCCAACCCACAUACUUGAAUACACGACAGUUAGAAAACAAACUGGGAUUAGAUACCCCACUAUGCCUAACCGUAAACAAUUAACCCACACCCACAAGCGCCAGGGGACUACGAGCUAUGCUUAAAACCCAAAGGAUUUGACGGUGUCCCACCCAACUAGAGGAGCCUGUUCUAUAAUCGAUGAUCCCCGAUACACCCGACCACUCCUAGCUAAACCGUCUGUAUACCUCCGUCGAAAGCUUACCAUGUGAACGUCCACAGUAGGCCCAAGGACCCGCAUUAGCGCGUCAAUACGUCAGGUCAAGGUGCAACUUAAGGUGUGGGAAGUAAUUGGCUACAAUUUCUAACCUAGAACAAACGAAAGGCUGUGUGAAACCACAGUCACGAAGGUGAAUUUAGCAGUAAAAA
rnacentral:rRNA from 1 species